rnacentral:rRNA from 1 species
CUACGGGUGGCACCAGUGGGGAAUAUUGCACAAUGGGGGAAACCCUGAUGCAGCAACGCCGCGUGGAGGAUGACACAUUUCGGUGCGUAAACUCCUUUUAUAGGUCAAGAUAAUGACGGUAGCCUAUGAAUAAGCGCCGGCUAACUCCGUGCCAGCAGCCGCGGUAAUACGGAGGGCGCAAGCGUUACUCGGAAUCACUGGGCGUAAAGAGCAUGUAGGCGGGUUAAUAAGUCAGAAGUGAAAUCCAAUAGCUCAACUAUUGAACUGCUUUUGAAACUGUUAACCUAGAGUGUGGGAGAGGUAGAUGGAAUUUCUGGUGUAGGGGUAAAAUCCGUAGAGAUCAGAAGGAAUACCGAUUGCGAAGGCGAUCUACUGGAACAUUACUGACGCUGGGAUGCGAAAGCGUGGGGAGCAAACAGGAUUAGAUACCCGGUAGUC